CAGCCUGUGUGGGCGCCAUUCUCUGAAAGCACAAAGACAGAAGUAAUCUUCAGAGCUUAACAAAAGAACACUGGAAAUAGAAAUCCUGAGGAGCCCCACAAGAAGAUCUGAAGCCUGUUUACAAGCCUUUCUGAAAUGAAAGUCAUUGCAACAACCCUGAGAGGUGCUGUUAGUCCACGGUGAAUGGAGUGAGUUCAUAACAGAGUGAAUACAAGACAGACUGUGAUCACAUUAGUCCUGGAUGAAAAACACCAUCGAUUUAUGCUGCUGUGUGAGAAAAGAUAAGGAGGGAAUGCUCUAUGCAUGGUGAGAUGCACAAAGUCAAGUGACUGUCCAUAGGCAUGUAAAUAAUUGUAUUAAUAAUUAAUUUUUAAAAAUCAAGAUAACUGAAGGUGACUGUGGAAUUCUGCCAUCUUUGUGAGUCUGAGCAUACCCUGGUGCUAUUGAGAACACACCUUUGAGGCUGGGAUUAAGCUCAUGCACCCUCCGUAUUCAAAGUGCUUGGUUAAUAACUAAAGAAACCGAUGCUAUAGCUUUCAUCAAUGGCAUAGCCAAAGUAAAUAAAAAUUCUC